GACGAACGCUGGCGGCGUGCCUAACACAUGCAAGUCGAACGAUCUGGUAGCAAUACCAGGGAGUGGCGAACGGGUGAGUCACACGUAAGCAAUCUACCCUGAAGACGGGGAUAACCUUGGGAAACUAGGGCUAAUACCCGAUAUGCUCACACAAUGGACUCAUUCAGUGAGGAAAUGGCUUUUCGCUUUAAGAGGAGCUUGGGUCGGAUUAGUUAGUGGGCAGGGUAAUGGCCUACCACGACGAUGAGCAGUAGCCGACCUGAGAGGGGGGUCGGCAAAACUGGGAAUGAGACACGGCCCAGACUCAUACGGGAGGCAGCAGUAGGGAAUCUUCCGCAAUGGACGAAAGUCUGACGGAGCAACGCCGCGUGAGUGAUGAAGGCUUUCGGGUCGUAAAACUCUGUUGUUAGGGAAGAACAAGUGCUAGUUGAAUAAGCUGGCACCUUGACGGUACCUAACCAGAAAGCCACGGCUAACUACGUGCCAGCCGCCGCAGUAA
rnacentral:rRNA from 1 species